rnacentral:rRNA from 1 species
UACGAAGGGUGCAAGCGUUACUCGGAAUUACUGGGCGUAAAGCGUGCGUAGGUGGUUUGUUAAGUCUGUUGUGAAAGCCCCGGGCUCAACCUGGGAAUGGCAAUGGAUACUGGCAAGCUAGAGUGCGGUAGAGGGUAGUGGAAUUCCCGGUGUAGCGGUGAAAUGCGCAGAUAUCAGGAGGAACACCGAUUGCGAAGGCAGCUCGCUGGGACGUCACUGACGCUGAGACGCGAAAGCGUGGGGAGCAAACAGG